UCCGGCCACCCCAUCUUUCUGCCCAUCCCCCUCAACUCGUCUGCAAUAAACGAUAAGGGAAAUAAUGACGAGCACUAAAUGUGACGUUGAGUUGGCAUUUACAAAUGAUUUGCAAAACAACUCCCUAAUCAACCCACGGCACACUACCCAGACCCUAUAUGGUGGUUGUCUAAAAAGAUAGAGCCCAUACUCUUCAGGGGAGCACGCUGGGAGGAGGGGCGCCUCGGGAAAGCAAGGCGCUCCAGUCCCCAAGACCCCAGGUUGUCACCAGAGGAUCCUGACGCGCAAGCAGCCGCGUUGUGUAAAAUCCACAAGACUUGUCACCCCAACUUCCCACUCCUAAAACCUAAGUGGGGGAUGAAAAGGAUCCUAGGGUGACAGAAGAAAGUAGAAGCUCUAUCUUCUGUGCUUGGGAUCCAGAAAUAAAAGCAAUGAACAGGGGAGACGGAGGCAGACGACCGGGCACGCGUCGGAUACGGGUCUUGCGGAAGAGUGGGAGGUAGAGUUGACAGCUGUGCAAAGUCUGGGGAGAGAUCUGAACAGGAGAUAAGAAUGCAGGACACCUCAAUAUCUCAGGUUUUUGAUCACCAUUUACUUCCUCUCCUUCAGUUGCAGUUAUAUUCUCCCUUUCCUUCAAGAUAAGGAAACUAAUGCUGAGAGGUUUUGUAUGUAACUUGCUCAAGAUCACAUAGCUCGUAAGUACAAUCUGAAUUCAGUAAAGUCCAUUUCUUUCCCCCGCUUCCCAGGAUGACCUAAAUUAGAAUGAAUAUAUUCUAAAGGAAUUUUGGCAUGCUACACGAUCCCAUUUAACAUAGCUAACAAUUCAACCUGAUCCUUAUCAAUGGACUUUAGAUUUUAAUUCUAUAUCUUCAUUAAAGACAAACCAAUUAAUGGUUAUAAAUGCUUCUCAAGGACAUAUUAUUUUUUUUAACAUCGGUAUUGGAGUAUAAUUGCUUUACAAUGUUGUGUUAGUUUCUGCUGUAUAAC